GGUGAGUGGUGUAGUGUUGCUAGGCAGAGUGUGGUAAGGUGCGGCUGGGUUUGAUUUCCCUACCACAGCACUGCAGAGGUGGGAAAGGAGGAGGGGGAUUGAGUCACACCCGGAUUCACAACCUUAAAAUUUCCAGGAGUCGAAGUUUGAGUCAAAAUUUCCGAAACGUAUCCGCCUCCACACCCCUCGUUAACCCGGUAGCUGCGGGGAUCAUGUUUCUUAUUGGUCCCUCUAAGCGAGAAAAAUGAGAAAAAAUCAUUACUCACACAAACCAUUUCAUAAUAUAUAUCAAAACAUUUGUGAUCAGUUUAUGUAUCAUCUAUUUUGGGGGGUUUAUAUCAUGGCACAAAUUUGGCCCGUCGCUGCUACACGGUAAAGCCACAAAUUUGGCCCGUUGCUGCUACCGGGUUCAUUCAUAGCUCCAGCUUUCUCAGUACUUCCCUUCGCUGGUAAUGCGCUAACGCCUUGAUCCCUCUAAGCCGCUAGUUCCCAAUGCUUCGCCGUAACCAUUUUCAAUAAGCUUAUCAGACGUCGUUAUCUGAUAAGCUUGAAAAAUCUGUUAGUACUCGGUGAUGAUAUUUUUUAUCCCACAUUCUAGUAAUCAGUUUUAUUUAUCUUGACUCACAUAUCUCUUAAUACCCAAUCACUGCGACAGUUUUUAUUAGUUAUCUCAUCGGUCUUUUUAUUUUUCAUUAUGGCAGUUUUCAGUAUAAGGUCGUAAUCAGUCUAAUUUAUCUUGAGUCCUAUAUCUCUUAAUACCUGAUCACUGCGACAGUUUUUAUUAGCUAUCUCAUCGGUCUUUUUAUUUUUCAUUAUGGCAGUUUUCAGUAUAAGGUCGUAAUCAGUCUAAUUUAUCUUGAGUCCUAUAUCUCUUAAUACCCAAUCAUUGCGACAGUUUUUAUUAUCAAUCUCAUCAGCCUUUUUUUUCUUUAAGUAUUCGGUAUUUCAUCAUGACAAUCUUCAGUAUAAAGUCGUAAUCAAUCUAAUUUAUCUUGAGUCCUAUAUCUCUUAAUACCCGAUCACUGCUACAGUUUUUAUGAUCAACCUCAACAGACUAACCUUCCAUAGCUUUUCCCUAUCUUUUAGUACUCAGUGUCUCAUUACAACAAUUUUCAAUAUCAAAUUCUAUUCACUAUUUUUUUUUUGUAUGGACGUAGUAUUUCGAUGAUAAACACAUUGAAGUGGCUUGAAACGAAGGGAUGAAAAAAAGUCACCCAUGAUUAAAAAGACAGGUGGAGGUGACAGGUGGGGCAGAGAGCAGAUAUCUUUUUGUGUGUAACGAUUUGACACUAAAGACUGAAGUGAAGUUAAACAAAGGGAUGAAAAACAAGUCACUAUUGAUUAAGAAGACAGGUAGAGGUGACAGGUGCGGCAGAGAGCUAUAUCAAGGGAGAAGCAGAUAUCUUUUUGUGUAUAACUUUUCGAUACUAAAGAUAGUGAAGUGAACAAAUGAAGGAGUAAAAAGUGUCUCCCAUGAUUACGACAACAGGUGGAGAUGGAAGGUGGGGCAGAGAGCUAUAUCAAGGGAGAAGCAGAUAUCUUUUUGUGUAUAACUUUUCGAUACUAAAGACAAUGAACUGAACAGAGGAAGGAAUUAAAACUAAGUCACCCAUGAUUACGAAGAAGGGAGAAGGUGGAAGGUGAGGCAGGGAACGUAACGUAAUCAAAGGAGAAGCAGAUAUCUUUUUCUAUGUAACAUUUCGACACUAAGGACAAUGAGGUAAACAAAGGAAGGAAUAAAAAGUAAGUCACCCAUGAUUACGGAAACAGGUGGAGGUGGAAAGUGGGGCAGGGCACUUUUAUCAAUGAAGAAAGAGAUAUCGCCCGAGAUUAUAGAGAAUAAGGUCUGGUAUGUAAUCUUGUUUUUUACAGGAACUGAUAAACGGAGAUUACGAUCGGAGUGAGCGAGGCCUGCGUGAGAGAUUUGCAAGUGCGUCACUGUGAGACAAAAUUGGAUACGUGUAGUGAGACGUAUUUCGUGUAUUAGUAAUCUGUUGUUGGAUAAUGAUGAACUAACCAGACGAGAAAAUCAAUACCAAAGAUAAUGAUGAUAGUAAUAAUUUAGUAACUGGUCCGACCUGAAAACUAAAUUCUCGAUCAUGAAAUUUGGCUGAGGUUAGUGAAGACUCUUAUUACGAGCCAUGAUAUAGGAGCCACAUAGCAUGAAAACCUCUCCUACUCACUACAAUACUUCUGGACUGUAAUGAAGCUUGAGUUACAGCCAUGAAAGGAAUAUAUAGAUUAAAGGAGAAAGAGAGUACUGAUGAAAACUAUUACCAGGAGCCAUGACCUAGGAGUAACACAGCAGAAAAACCUCUCCUGUACUGCGAUGAAGCUUGAGUUAUAGCCAUGAAAAGAACAUAUAUAUAGCAAAGGAGAAAGGGAAUACUGAUGAAAACUAAAGAAUGGCUCACACAGGGUACUCAUUCAUUCAGCUAAAACAACUCAGCGAUUGAACGACACACUGCGAGCAUUGGGUAACACUAAGCAGUCUCUCUUACUGGUGACAUGACAAGCUUCUAAGUGUACCAAACCUAAGACUGGCUCACAAAGGGUACUCAAUCAUUCAGCUAAAACGACUCAAUGAUUGAAUGCCAAACUGUGAGACUUGGUGAGCACUAAACAGCCUCUCUUACUGGUGACAUGACAAGCUUCUAAGUGUACCAAACCUAAGGACUGGCUCACAAAGGAUACUCAUUCAUUCAGCUAAAACAACUCAGCGAUUGAACGACACACUACGAGCAUUGGGGAACAUUAAACAGUCUCUCUUACUGGUGACAUGACAAGCUUCUAAGUGUACCAAACCUAAGACUGGCUCACAAAGGGUACUCAGUCAUUCAGCUAAAACAACUCAGUGAUUGAACGACACACUACAAGCAUUGGGGAACAUUAAACAGCCUCUCUAACUGAUGCCGUGAUAAGAUAGGCUAUCACUAAACGACUCUGUACCAGGCGCCAACGCUGAAAACUCUGGCUCACUGACUCACUUCACACCAUGUCUUGCUUGUAGCGUUCCCAGGCACCAAUAAUGAGAGGGAGGCUGUGAUGGGGGUUGAAUAAAAAAUGUUGGACCUCCUCAAACAGACAAUUGCCACGCACUCACUCGGAACGGACAUAAGACCUCCACUUCCAGUCACUUCCAUACUUUUAACCCUUCAAUGGCAGUGGAACUAUAUAUAGACGGUCCAAAAUUCAGUCAGUUUUGUAUGGCAGAAAUUUAACAACACUUCCAGAUUGCAUUAGAAUCUAUAUACAUCAAGAAUCUAUAUGUAUCAAGACACCUCUCCUCCCGAAAUUGACCCCUCUUUCGGCCACCUCUUUGGAUUCUUUGUAGGAGCAGCGAGUAGCGGGCUUUUUUCUUAUUAUUGUUUCCUUUUUUUGUGCCCUUGAGCUGUCUCCUUUGUUGUAAAAAAAAAAAAAAGAGAGAGAGAGAGAGAGAGACAACAGUUAAAACAUCUCUUAUGCGGCGUAUCUAUAUUUAUGCUACGGUCCUAAGGUUGGCAGUGACGAUAGAUGAUUCAUUUUUGGGGAGUUGCUCUUCAAAUACUGCCGCCGUCCGAGGGUUAAUAGACUGUUUAAUGAGGACCACCGUCUAUGAUUUGACCACCAUCACGAGGCACUAUGAUCCAGUGUGUGCAUGUGAUUUAUGAUUUGCACUCUCCCCAUUUGUCUUGUGAAUCAGUAUCAAAAAAGCCAACCAUGUAGCCUACUUAAGAAUAUAUUGACGAGUAGUUCUAAUCAGUAGGCCUAUGUUCUUUGAGUGUAUGUAUUGAUAGUAAGUACCAAAGUUAGGGUCGCUUUCACAGUCACUUUGUUUGUUUUGAUCGUACCCGACGGCGGCGAUCGACGUAAUAGUUUUCCACGUGAAACUGGCCGAUAGGGUAGUGGCGGCUGCAGAGGAAGCGAGAGGCAUUGAGAGUGUGUGCCAAGGUGAGGGGCUAGGCUAACCCCUCACCCGCCACUACCCCAUCGGCCAGUUUUAAGUGGAAAUACUACAGCGGCGAUAACAGCCAUUGGUAACGAUCACAACAAACGAAACGACCGUGAAAGCGGCCCCUAGUCUCUAGUAACAUUAUUAAGUUCUGCAAGCCAUCAUUUUCAGCUUAAUCUGUAAUUCCUUGCUGUUGAUUAGUUCAAAUUAUGUUCCUUGAGUGCAUAUUUUGAUAGCAAAUACCAAAGUUAGUAUGGAAUGACAUUUUAAGAUUCUGCAAGUCAGCAUUUUCAGCCUAAUCUAAUUUUUGCUUCCCAUUCAUGAGUCCCCCACCAUUCUGAGUAUAUUUUGAUAGCAAGUACAAAAGUUAGUAUCGAAUAACAUUAUAAGAUUCUGCAAGUCAUAAUUUUCAGCCUAAUCUAAUUUUUGCUUCCCAUUCAUGAUCCCCCACCAUUCUGAUCCUCACCACCACCACCACCGCCACCCUUAGUAAGAGCUACACACCUGCUUCAUUGGCUUGUCAUGUUUAGAAUAAGUGCCUCAGAGCUUCAGCCUUCUUGCUAAAUCUAAUGCAUUGCUUUUAUAUACAAUUUCUCAUCUUAUGCUUAGCUGGGGGGGUUUCUAAAGCUUGGGGCGGGGCAACGUUCCCUGGCCAGUCUUUCGGUACACUAAUCUUUUUCCUUGCCUCUGGGCUUACCAACGC